GAUGAACGCUGGCGGCGUGCUUAACACAUGCAAGUCGAACGAUGAAGCCCAGCUUGCUGGGCGGAUUAGUGGCGAACGGGUGAGUAACACGUGAGUAACCUGCCCUUGACUCUGGGAUAAGCCCGGGAAACUGGGUCUAAUACCGGAUUGGAGCGCCUGUCGCAUGACGGGUGCUGGAAAGAUCUUUCGGUCAUGGAUGGACUCGCGGCCUAUCAGCUUGUUGGUGAGGUAACGGCUCACCAAGGCGACGACGGGUAGCCGGCCUGAGAGGGUGACCGGCCACACUGGGACUGAGACACGGCCCAGACCCCUACGGGAGGCAGCAGUGGGGAAUAUUGCACAAUGGGCGAAAGCCUGAUGCAGCGACGCCGCGUGAGGGAUGACGGCCUUCGGGUUGUAAACCUCUUUCAGCAGGGAAGAAGCGAAAGUGACGGUACCUGCAGAAGAAGCACCGGCUAACUACGUG
rnacentral:rRNA from 1 species